AUUGAACGCUGGCGGCAGGCCUAACACAUGCAAGUCGAGCGGAUGAGGGAAGCUUGCUUCCCGAUUUAGCGGCGGACGGGUGAGUAAUGCCUAGGAAUCUGCCUAUUAGUGGGGGAUAACGUUCCGAAAGGAACGCUAAUACCGCAUACGUCCUACGGGAGAAAGUGGGGGAUCUUCGGACCUCACGCUAAUAGAUGAGCCUAGGUCGGAUUAGCUAGUUGGUGAGGUAACGGCUCACCAAGGCGACGAUCCGUAGCUGGUCUGAGAGGAUGAUCAGUCACACUGGAACUGAGACACGGUCCAGACUCCUACGGGAGGCAGCAGUGGGGAAUAUUGGACAAUGGGCGAAAGCCUGAUCCAGCCAUGCCGCGUGUGUGAAGAAGGUCUUCGGAUUGUAAAGCACUUUAAGUUGGGAGGAAGGGUAUUCACCAAAUACGCGGGUACUUUGACGUUACCAACAGAAUAAGCACCGGCUAACUCUGUGCCAGCCGCCGCAGUAACAC
rnacentral:rRNA from 1 species